GGAGGGGGAGGAUGAGCCUGGAGCUUGGAGCUGGGGCCUGGACGGGGUGGAUGUGCACAUCCAGGCCAACCUGGAGGACGCGUUGGUGCAGGAGGCCCUAAAGACGGGUGUAGAUCUGCGUCUGUCUCGCCAGGUGGAGGCGAGCUGCAGGAGGUGGAACGAGCCUCCAUCAGAGACUACAUCAAGGAGAGCGAGAACAUCGCGGCGCUGCACAACCAGA